rnacentral:rRNA from 1 species
UACAGAGACUGCGAGCGUUAUUCGGAUUCACUGGGCGUAAAGGGCGCGCAGGCGGCCGUGUGUGUGAGGCGUGAAAGCCCGGGGCUUAACCCCGGAAUUGCACCUCAAACUACACGGCUAGAGCAUUGGAGAGGGUAGCGGAAUUCACGGUGUAGCAGUGAAAUGCGUAGAUAUCGUGAGGAACACCAGAGGCGAAGGCGGCUACCUGGACAAUUGCUGACGCUCAGGCACGAAAGCGUGGGGAGCAAAAGGG